AACUCAACUUCCUGUGUUGGGUUGUGGAAUUGGUGAGGAGCAAUAUCUGCUUCAUCUCCUAUUUUACUGCUAACCAUCUUGCUCUCCCACGAACGACUGAAUGUUGCGUUGCGUUUCGAUUUUCAGGUACAGCUAAUGCUGUGAAGCAAAGGUGAUGUCAUUCGUACCGCGGUUUAGCUUCAAUCGUCCCUGUGCACAGUUCUUCUGUUGUGCAGAGGUUAAAGAAUCUAUCGCGGACCCGAAUCCAGCUCCGUGUCUGUGAGUUGAGUAUGAACCAAGCCAAGCCCUAAUUUCCCCACCUGGAAAGAGGGGAAAAGUAUGUACACGAGGCUUCACGAGGCGUGGCAGGAAUGCGAACCCCGAAACCGUCGGCAAUUGACUAGUUUGACGUCCAAACGAGUGUAAUUUCUCCUCCCCCACGCCACUCCUGAUCGCUAAGAUUCGCAUUUGCCGCUACCACUUCUCCAUUUCGUUCUACUCCAAGCGCCUUCACAUCGGCUCAAACUCUCAGAAUGCUCACCUGGUGGUAGGUUCUGAUUUCGUCUCCUGAUGUUCGCCUCUCUCAAAACUUGUUUACGAGCAUUGGUUUAGAGAUGGACGGAUGGGUAAGCUCAUGUGGACACAAUGAACUGCCAAACCUAUUGAUGUGCACACACGAGAAUUGAUUUUGUAGGAGUUCGUUCGCUUGCGCUGUAGGAUACCCAGCACCAUUCAGUGUUUAGCAAGCAUACUUCUUGUUUCUUGUUGUUUGUGUGUGUGUGUGUGUGUGUGUGUGUGUUUUUUCCCGUGUCUUCUACUGUUUUGUGAUCAUGAAUUGUGUCAACCCACUACAAGUCUCUGGUCUGAAGAUUGCCACGCGAUUGAAACAUCUUUUUGACGGGCCGACUCCGACAACAAACUCGAUCAGGUGGUCAUCGAAAGAUUGGUAACCUUCUCGUAAGAAGCAGAAUCACGUUAUGUACAGUUUAGUCGGUAAAUGAAAAACCUCAUUUCCACGGGAAUGCCUUCGGAGGCGGGCGCAACCUUGCAAUCGUCAGGAAGCGUCACCUUAAAGACUCACUCCACCGAUUGUCUACAGUGCAGUAUAAGAUGAAGACGAUCCAGGCAAUUCGAGAAGUCCAUCCAAGUUGAGACGGGCAUUCUCCAAAUCACCAAAAACCUUAAAUAUCUUACUGAUCCAGACAAAAUGGCUUUGAAAACGACCAGUGCUGGAGUCACUUUGACGACACGGUUCAAAAGAAAGAGGAAAGCAAAUGUCACGCCACCUGCCACACCAUUCAACAACACUUCCUUCCUAAUCCAGCUGCAACGACGACGAGAGCAACGACGCAUCCCAACAAGGUGUGAAUUCGACCAGUAUGGCUCCAUGGAGAACAUGAUUGCCUGGUGCUACUUGCCCACCUCACCACAAAACCGAAUCCCUGGGCCCUCAUCUCAUUCUAUCCCUCAUCCUGCCACAAACCCAUCCUCACAAACCCCACAAAAUCCUGUGCCGUCCCGUGAAAACCAGGAUGGAGAAGUCUUCAAUCUUAACCAUCCUCGUCAACAACAACAAGAACAACAACCCUGCAGCGGCGACCCUCAAACCUCGCCUACCACAUCGAAACUCGAAGACUCUCAAGUGAACCCACCAGAUUGUUGAUCUCCUCCUCAUCAGCAAAGUCUGCCCCAAUUCGCGAUCGACAACGUUACUGCUUGUGAUGGAAAGCUGAGCAACGAACUGUAUCUGAUCCAUGCUUCAUCUAGAUUUGCUGCAUUGUAGAUAGUCUCUUUCUGUUGCCCUAUUCUUUAUGUGCACACAUACACACACACAAAUAAUAAGACAUAUAUAUAUAUAGAUAGAUAUAUAAAUAAAUAAAUAGCAAUACGCAUGUGAGGGUUGUGGGUUUUGGGGUUUAGAAAGUGUGCAGCUCAAUGACACGCAAGGCAAGCUUCCAAUUUCGUGAGAUGGGUAGUUUCAUACUUCAUUGUAGAAUCACACCACAUUUAUUAUUGAGUUUUAUAACUCCAGGUAA